UUGCAGCUUAUUAAGCCGACCAGACUGGUUGCUGUACAGCUCUGGUGUGCAAAGGCUGCAUACAUUGAUUCUCUUUGGUUGUGUAUGUUACCAGCUAAAUAGUACUGGUCACGCCAAGGGACCUUUGAAACAUUG
ensembl:snoRNA SNORA70 Small nucleolar RNA SNORA70